rnacentral:lncRNA from 1 species
AUCGAACUGUCGGCCAUUAUUGGUGAUUAUUACUCUUGGAAGUCCGAAACUGCAUAUGAUCAAUCUUUAGAUAAAGUUUCUCACCUUUUGCUCGGUAAUCUGAGCUAGAGAUUUGGCUUCCACCCAUUUUGUGAAGUAAUCUAUUGUGACGAUCAAGAAUUCUUUUUCGUCCAUCGCUAUCAGAAAGGGAUAGAGGAUACCCAUCCCCCACAUCACAAAAGGCCAAGGGGAUG